UUUUGGAGGGCAAGUUUGGUGCCAGCAGCCGCGGUAAUUCCAGCUCCAAUAGCGUAUAUUAAAGUUGUUGCAGUUAAAAAGCUCGUAGUUGAAUUUCGGGGUUAGUAGGUUGGUCGUGCCACAGGUAUGCACUGGUCUUACUGACUUCUCCUUUCUGAAGAACUGUAAUGCCAUUAAUUUGGUGUUGCGGGAAAACAGGACUGUUACUUUGAAAAA
rnacentral:rRNA from 1 species